rnacentral:rRNA from 1 species
AGUGAACGCUGGCGGUAGGCCUAACACAUGCAAGUCGAACGGCAGCACAGUAAGAUCUUGCUCUUACGGGUGGCGAGUGGCGGACGGGUGAGGAAUACAUCGGAAUCUACUUUUUCGUGGGUGAUAACGUAGGGAAACUUACGCUAAUACCGCAUACGACCUACGGGUGAAAGCAGGGGAUCUUCGGACCUUGCGCGAUUGAAUGAGCCGAUGUCGGAUUAGCUAGUUGGCGGGGUAAAGGCCCACCAAGGCGACGAUCCGUAGCUGGUCUGAGAGGAUGAUCAGCCACACUGGAACUGAGACACGGUCCAGACUCCUACGGGAGGCAGCAGUGGGGAAUAUUGGACAAUGGGCGAAAGCCUGAUCCAGCCAUACCGCGUGGGUGAAGAAGGCCUUCGGGUUGUAAAGCCCUUUUGUUGGGAAAGAACAGCAGCAGGUUAAUACCCCGCUGUUCUGACGGUACCCAAAGAAUAAGCACCGGCUAACUUCGUG